CGUCUGCUGUGAUUGACAGCUGGAGAUGAGCCAGUCGUGAAGCGGCAGGACGCGGCUUCACCGACUUUGGCAGAACGCUGACGGCGCCCGGGCAAACUGCUGCCCGACACCGCCCACUGCAACGCCGGGCGUCUGGGCGGCAAGUGGGACAAAAGAUGAAUUUCAUGAAGAUGUCAUUUUUAUCAGGAAUGUCGUGAGCAACCAUAGACGCUCCCUAUUGAGAAGAGAGUCCUGGGAAAAGACUAGAUCCCGCUUGUGAGGGCGUGAUCCGGUCCAGUUGUGACGCCGUGUCAAGACGAGACAUUUUUACAUCGGACUGCGUCAGCAUCGAUAGGAAACAGCGGUAACAAAGCCGUAGUGAAACGUGGCGUCUUUUAUCCAAGAAUUAAUUUUUUACUAUGAUGUGGUGCAAAUUGAAUUGCAGUUGUAUUUGUUUGCAUGUUAUAAAGUUGAGCUAACCUCUAUAUGUUGUACGUGAAUGAAAACAUAAAAUACAUGACGUCGAUAUUAAAAAAGUUCAUUUCGAUGGUGGAGGAGGAUGAUUGAACAGCCGCGCCUCAGCUGCUUCAGUUCAUCAGUGUCCGUCUGUGUGUGUCAUUGUCCCUGAGACCCUUAACCUGUGAUGAUAUGAAAGGUCACAGGUGAGGCCCUUGGGAACAGAGGUGCAUGCAGCUGCUUCUGGACAUGACAGUAAACCCUUUGAGUGGAAAAGCCUGCAUGAGAUUAUUACAGACAUCAAUAAAAGACUCAGAUCAGACCUGCAAAUCUGCACAACACUCAUCAAUAAGAUGCUUUGAUUGUAUGAGGUCAUCUGGGGAGAACGCGCCAAACUUUCCAGACAUUGUAAAAAACAAAGAAAGAGGCAGGACUUUUUUUGGUCGGCUUUGAACACAAACACUUUAAUACCGGUCGUGACCCUGAAAUAUGAUUCACAUCAAAUUUUAAAAUCUGUUCGCAACAUUAAAAAAAGUAGAAGGAAGGAGGGAGGCUUUGAUAAUUAAUUUUAAAAAGACAGUGACAUUCCCUUGAUGUUUAAUCAUCCGAAAAUACACUGAAUAUUUUUAAACUCUGUAUCUUUGAAAGACUUUCAGCAACAAUUAACAUUCCGGUCGGUUCACUAUUGGACUGUGAGACAAGACGAAGAGAACAAGCAAGCACUGAAGCAGGAGCCGAACAUAUAAGAUGAAGGUUACUAACAUAGUUUUAAUUACGUGAUUUGUUUUUUUUAUUUCUAUACAUGAGUGAUUUGCAUCGUGUUUGUGGAAUUAAUGAAAAUAAAAUGUUAAAAAACAAUGAAAA